CCCAGGCGCCUCUCUAGCCGCGCGGGCCCAGCCGAGCGCGCAGCACCGCGGCCCCUCGCGGCCGCCGGGGGCCCGGCCGCACCGCCAUCUUCGCCGCUCCGCCCGCCCGCCCGCCGGGCCCCAGGCUCGGGGAGGCCCGACUCGGCCGCGCGCGGCGUCCUGCGGAGCCGGCGGGCCCGGCGACCACGGGGCUGGGGCCGCGGGAGUCCGGGGCGGGGCGCCCGGACCGAGCUUGCACCGGCGCCCGCGCGGAUCCCGCGGGGACCUGAGUCCCCUUCUGGGGCCGCUGUCACCGCAGCCCCGGAGCCUGGGCGUGCCGGGUGGGCAGGCCUUCCCCGGGAGCUCAAUGCGCCUGAACCAAACGCCGCGCGCCGGCCCCUCCGCACGCCCGCGCCACGCCGCGCCUGCAGCGGUGUUUUAAGAUCGUUGUGGGGAACCGAAGCUAGAAAUUAAUCUGUGCAUCUGCCACCGAGAGAAGAGAAGGUCUGGCACAUUCAGAGCAUUCUGAGGAAUGAUUUCACAGGAGACUAUGCCAAGAGAUGUUGCAGUCAUCCAGAUGAGAGCUGAUGAUGGCAUGAACAAAGCCAUUGACAGUGCAAAUGGAACACAAGGAACAGAUGCAGGACUUAAUUGUGGAGAUAAGAGAGGAAUGGCUUAGCAACCAAUGAGACUGAGCACUGAGUGAGCCAAAAGGGCUGCAGGUGACUGAGAAAGGGUCUGGAAGGAUGCUGGCCCAUAACACACCAUGAAUGGGUGAGGAAAGAGUGGGUCUUAAAGGGGGAGGGGCAUGAUUAAUUUGAUGUCGCUGGCUAAAUAAACAGUUUCCGUUGGCUCU